UACGGGGGGAGCAAGCGUUGUUCGGAUUUACUGGGCGUAAAGGGCGCGUAGGCGGCCUUCUAAGUCGAACGUGAAAUCCCCGGGCUCAACCCGGGAACUGCGUCCGAUACUGGAAGGCUUGAAUCCGGGAGAGGGAUGCGGAAUUCCAGGUGUAGCGGUGAAAUGCGUAGAUAUCCGGAGGAACACCAGUGGCGAAGGCGGCUGGCUGGACCUGACCUGACGCUGAGGCGCGAAGGCGUGGGGAGCGAACGGG
rnacentral:rRNA from 1 species